CCACUCUGGAAACUGUGUAAUAUUUGUGUAACAUCGGUAGGAGCUUCUGUUCUGAUAAGUGCAAAUCAUCCCUUAAGUAGUAAAGUCAACUGUGGUGGAACAGACCUCGCCACGUGUUCUUGGAGAGGGCUGCUUGCCCGCCUCCUACCUUCUGACUAUGGCCCUGUGCAUUUGCAAACACUAUUUGUGCCCUGUGACAAAACUGGAGAUUGUGCACAUAUAUGACUAUUGUCCAUAUUUUUUAUGAUUCCCUUCGUUUGUUGCACCGUUCCCCAUGUGUUUCAUCUGCUGGUUCGGCUGGAUAGACUACCAGACAAACUGUGGAGUUACUGGAUGGCCACCAUUUCAUGUAUCAGAGGCACAUGGUGAGAACAAUGGAUGAAGUACAUGGUGAGAACAAUGGAUGGCAGCCAUUUUAACUCACAGACACUGUUUUGACUUUUCUACACGGUGCCAUCUCGCCGGCAUUUGGUGCACAAAGACAUCGUUCAGUAGUUUUAAACUACAGAAAAGGGGACACAUUUAACAGUAAUUAUUUUUCAUAUAGCCUGUAUAUGUUCUGCGGAAUCUGCAUUAAACCGUAUCUUCCAAACUACUGAACGGACCUGGGUGAAUUUUGGAUAUGUGGUUCACCCAGGUCCCCCGGUUCCGAGGAUAUAUUUUUUAUGGGGUUAUUGCAUGUUUUGGGGUCCCUGUGAUAUCUUUUAUAAUACUUUAUUUUCCUGCCUGUGAUAAUUAAGUUAGUCUAUUGUGUUGAGAUAAUUGUAUCACAGGCAGAGGGGAGGAUUUCUGAUGUAAUGAAUGGGAGUGUUAGCUGUGUUGUAAUGUGUUGAUUGGUUGUUCUUCAAAACCCUGUGGGCAGUACUUUGUUUGUAGAAUGUGAAUAAAAGAGGCUGUAUGUGCCAGUACAGUCAGUUCUACUUCACCCUCAAUUUGGAGUGCCGUCUCUUAUUGGGGGUAUCUGCUACAAGGGAUUGCUAUGCUCUGCAUACUCUCUUGCUAUAGUCACUGCUAGGCUCUUGUAAGAGCUUGUUCCUGUCUUGCUCUCACUGAAGGAGUCUAUGCUGGUUAUGGUGUCGGCUGGAGUGCUUGGAGCCCUCAGGAAGCGCUAGGAGCAUCCUUCAACGGAGGUACCCAGUCGGGGUGCCCAUCGAUCCGUUACAUCAACCCUGUACAAGACAUCCCUAUCUAAAGGUGGAACUCUGGUUUCUUAAUACCUUUGCAUUGGGAUCAUUUUUGCUACAACCCUGUUCAUCCUGUUUCUGAACUAUUACCUGGCUCUGACCUGGAUACCCUUACCAGAUAAUCUCUCGCUUGUUAAAGAUGCUGUUUCUGGCUCUUACUUAGCUUUACUUAUCCUGUUUGCAACCUUUUCUGUUUUUCUAGACUCAUACCUGAAUUUAGUUUGGCUUUGCUGGUUUCCAUAUACAUACCUACUUUCUAUAAUAAUUCUAUUUUCCUCUUUCGGUUAAAAAGAGUUUGACCUAUAGAUUCCAAAAUACCUACACAUAUCCCAUAAAGUUUAUAACUGAUAUCCAUAAACCAAACAUAACAUUUCAAACCUUAACCUGGAAACGUCUAGUUCUUUUGCACAUUUAGUCAUAUUACUAGCCAAAAUACAGAGAAGAAAUAGUUUUGUGAAAUUCCAUUCUGCAGGUUAAAGACAUCUUAAUGGUACUGAAUGCAACUGUAUCCACAGAAAACACAUACUAUGGUUUUCCGCUCUCAACUAAAUUUUUGUUAAAUUCUUUGCCAAGAAGUCCACAUAAGG